CCAUCUCUCCCACACCUGCUGACUGAUGAAUUCCUGUGUGUUUUGUAUCCAUGACCCAAAUCAGGUAAAAGCUGCAUAGAGAAAUGGGAGGCGGUGAGCACAAGGAUCAUGUGACGCCCUGCUGUGGGUGUGGGACCUGCGGCCUCAGGGGCAUGCGGGCUGGCAGCCGCUGUCUCCAUGCCGGAUGA
rnacentral:lncRNA from 1 species